AGCGUAGACGGUGUGGCAAGUCUGAUGUGAAAGGCAUGGGCUCAACCUGUGGACUGCAUUGGAAACUGUCAUACUUGAGUGCCGGAGGGGUAAGCGGAAUUCCUAGUGUAGCGGUGAAAUGCGUAGAUAUAUGGAGGAACACCGGUGGCGAAAGCGGCUCUCUGGUCUGUAACUGACACUGAGGCUCGAAAGCGUGGGAGCAAACA
rnacentral:rRNA from 1 species